rnacentral:lncRNA from 1 species
CCCAUACCCCUUCCAAGCUUUUUUUUUUUUUUUUUGACCUUUUUUUUCAUCUUUCUUUACUCUCAUCUCUUUCUUUAUUUUAUGGAUUUUUUUCCUUUUUUAUUUAUUAUUUCUUCUCCCCCCAUUCCCAAUGUGGCCGACCCCAUUUUUUCCCUCCUUCCCUUUUUCCCUUUCUUUCUUUAUUUUGAUUUUUUUUUUUCACUUUUUU